rnacentral:misc_RNA from 1 species
GAGGUGAAGAAUUCACAAUUGAAUUUCCCAAAAUUACAACUUGAGGUCUGGUUUGAGAUUCAACUUGCUAUCACAAGGAAGAUGACAGAAGAUAAGAGUAAAGUUCAUAGGGAAGGCAACCUAAUAGGAACACCCCCUGAUUUCUUAUGAAUAUGCUGAAAACAAUAAAGCAGUUGAUUCAGAUGGUUGACAAGCAAGCAGAUAUGAUACGAUGGGGCAAAAACCUACUCUAUUCCUUUUUCAAUUCAAUUUUUCCAUGCCACAAAGGUCCUUAAACUUAUAUCCUUUAAUAUAGCCAUACAUGUGGCCGCUAUAGAAUAGAGCACCAAAAAGAAACAGGCUUUUAAGGAGAAAAUGGGGGGAAAAAGAGAAGGCAUUCAAAAGUGAUCAAGGACAAAAAUUUUGAGGGUAUACACAAUGAUGAGAUGUAAUCACAAAUUUUAUCACAUUUGCACCUGAGGUUUUGUGGUUGGUGACUCUACCCUCAUUUAUCAAGGCCUUCGUCCAUGGAACCAUUUUAGUCUUUUCAGUUAAC